rnacentral:rRNA from 1 species
CAAGUCGAACGAGAAAGUUCCGCAAGGAGCGAGUAGAGUGGCGCACGGGUGAGUAACACGUAGGUGACCUACCUCGUAGAAUGGGAUAACAGAGAGAAGUCUCUGCUAAUACCGUAUAAGGUGAACGAUAUUGGAAAAGGUUCACGAAAGACGGCCUCUUUACAAUGCCGUUGCUAUGGGAAGGGCCUGCGGGCCAUUAGCUAGUUGGUGGGGUAAUGGCCUACCAAGGCGAUGAUGGCUAGCCGGUCUGAGAGGAUGAUCGGCCACACUGGAACUGAGACACGGUCCAGACUCCUACGGGAGGCAGCAGUAGGGAAUAUUGCGCAAUGGGGGCAACCCUGACGCAGCAAUGCCGCGUGAGUGAGGAAGGCCUUCGGGUUGUAAAACUCUGUCCUUGGGGAAAAAUGAGGUAGUGGUUAAUAGUCAUUAUCUGUGAUGGUACCCGAGAAGAAAGCACCGGCUAACUUCGUGCCAGCAGCCGCGGUAAUACGAAGGGUGCAAGCGUUGUUCGGAUUUAUUGGGCGUAAAGCGCGCGCAGGCGGAUUAGCAAGUCAUGUGUGAAAUCUCGGGGCUUAACCUCGAAAUUGCGCCUGAAACUACUAGUCUAGAAUCCUGGAGAGGGAAGGGGAAUUUCUCGUGUAGGGGUAAAAUCCGUAGAUAUGAGAAGGAACACCAGAGGCGAAGGCGCCUUCCUGGACAGGUAUUGACGCUGAGGCGCGAAAGCGUGGGGAGCAAACAGGAUUAGAUACCCUGGUAGUCCACGCUGUAAACGUUGAGAACUAGUUGUGGUGGGAAUUACCCCUGCUGUGACG